AUUAUUAACACAGCGAACGGUUCCAUAUUUAUUUACAAUUUAUAAUUACUAAUCACUUUUAUCCUUUUAUUUAAUCAUAAUAGCUUUUUUUUUGACAUAGACGUAAUAUUUUUUUUUUUAUAUCGUUGAAAGAAACGAUUCAAGGACUGACGACUCUAAUUGAUUGGUAUUAUGAAUAUAAGCUACUCCAUUCACAAUUGUAAUUUGACAAACUUUAAUCCUUAAACAUCAUUCACGAUAUUUUAACAAGAACGCAUAAUAGAAGAAAGAAUUUUUUACAUUUUUAUAUUGGAAAUAAAGAUGGGAAAAGAAAAAGGGGAAACAAAAAAAAAAAAAAAAAAAAAAAACCAGAAAAGUAGGACAAUGCGUAUAAAUUUGUUUAUUUAUCUCCGAUAACAAAUAACGCAUUGUCUUUGAAAGCUCUAAUAUUAUAGUAUAUAUAAUUGCGUUAAAAAAUAAGCAAUUUAUAUUACAAAAUAGGUAGUUACAUUAAGCCUGUUCGAUUUAUUUAUAAGGUGUUCAAACAA